UACGAAGGGGGCUAGCGUUGCUCGGAAUCACUGGGCGUAAAGCGCACGUAGGCGGAUUGUUAAGUCAGGGGUGAAAUCCUGGAGCUCAACUCCAGAACUGCCUUUGAUACUGGCGAUCUUGAGUCCGGGAGAGGUGAGUGGAAUUCCCAGUGUAGCGGUGAAAUGCGUAGAUAUUGGGAGGAACACCAGUGGCGAAGGCGGCUCACUGGACCGGAACUGACGCUGAGGCGCGAAAGCGUGGGGAGCAAACGGG
rnacentral:rRNA from 1 species